UCGCUAAAGAAAUCUAUGGUU
rnacentral:misc_RNA from 1 species